UUAUAAAAUUACGAGAAUAAAGUCAUAAUAUUACGAGAAUAAAGUUGUAAAAUUACGAGAAUUAAGUCAUUAUACCACAACCCGUUUCAGACAGAAAGCUUCGAUCAUGCUCCGACCAGCACCACCAAACUGCGUCCAGUUUGUCUUAAACAUAUUGGCCAAUUAGCAGGUAAGCUAAAGUAUUGAUAAUUUUGUCGUUAUAAUUUUGCAAGUUUAGGUGGGUGAGCUUACAGGCUUACAGGUUGGUUGAGUUAUUUGAUGCAACGCAUUUCCAGCUUUAUAAACGCUAGCAACGUCAUACAACAUGUAGCGUUUAACCUAAUGUGAGCCAUUCAUUAUAUUGUCUAAAUUAGUUGUUAUUGCUUGUCCAAACGACCCGCUCCAUCACUCACAUAAGCAUAUUUAAGAUACUUUGGGCUUGCCAUUUCUGUUGCAUUACAGUAAUGUUACUUUGUUCAAACUACCAUUAACGUCACCGUCUUUUAGUACCCACUAAUUACACCACUACCAGUCACCAUCUCUCUCUUCCCUAGGCAGGGGAACACCGGAGCCGUUCAGAUGAAAAAAGAUCCAUAAUGGCAGAGAAUCUGUCAGAAAUUGUGACUUUCCUGAGAGGUCGAGGUACAUCUGAAGAAACAAUCAGUUGGAUUCAAGAGCAAAAGAUUGACAGAGAGGUCAUCCUGCUAAUGGAAGAUGCCCAGCUAGCAAACUAUCUUCCAUCAUAUGGAGACAGGAUUGCUUUGUUCAACUUUUGCAAGCCUCAAACACACUGAGCAAAGCGGAAGCAGGGACUUUUUGAAAAGCUAAGGGAGAAGCUCAAGCUUAGAAAGGAAAACCAAACUGGAGAGGAGGAGCCAGGAACCUCCAACAAAACCAAAAAAGCUAGAGCAAAAACAGCAACAAGAAAUAUUGAAAUAGGAUGGGUUCACACUGAUGGCAAAAUAACAAAACAAGUCAGAGCAAAGCAAGGUGGGGGCACAAGGAAGAUUCCUAUAAACAUUCAGGCAGGAUGUGAUGAGAUACUAAAACAAGGAAAGUCCCUAUUCUUUCCAGAUGGAAAAUCCAGCAAAGGUCACGAAUGUGAUUUUGAAUUUGAUGUUUGGGAUUUCAAGCAAAAUCCUUUUCCCAAGGAUGUCACAGUUGAAAUGUUAUACAACACAGUUAAACUCCCACUUCUGCGCUUCUAUAUAUCAACUCAACUAAAAUCAGAGUUAAGUGAAGAGUCUGAUGAUAACAACCACACCUGUGUCAAAUGUGUUCCUCAGCCUGAUGUACCAGAUAACGAGGCCCUUGAUGAACCAUCGGUGGACAGACAUUGUUGGCAGGAUUUAACAGAUGAGGUUCAUGUCUCCAUUCCAGAUGUGUUUAUUGUUUCUGAAGAAGUCCUCACAGAUUCUACAGUAACGAGAGAAUGCUCUGCAAGCUCAAGUCAAGAAACAAGAACAGUUGUCAUCAGUGAUCCCAUAACUUUUUACAGUGGCAAGAAUUAUGUUAUUGAGGAUGACGCUGACCCUGAAAUCACUUUUGGUGCACAAGCAGGGAAUGAUGACUCCCUCAGUGACACAUUGAUCUAUGAACCUCUUGAGUUACCUCAAAGUCCUCUUAAUCUUUUGCCUGAAACAGUUUUGGUCUUGCACUACUCAAAC